UACGGAGGGUGCGAGCGUUGUCCGGAAUUAUUGGGCGUAAAGAGCUCGUAGGCGGUUUGUCGCGUCGGCUGUGAAAACCUGGGGCUCAACCCCGGGCCUGCAGCCGAUACGGGCAAACUAGAAUUCGGUAGGGGAGACUGGAAUUCCUGGUGUAGCGGUGAAAUGCGCAGAUAUCAGGAGGAACACCGGUGGCGAAGGCGGGUCUCUGGGCCGAUAUUGACGCUGAGGAGCGAAAGCGUGGGGAGCAAACAGG
rnacentral:rRNA from 1 species